UUCAAUGUGGCAGAAUAGUGCAAUGAGUUUAAGCCUCAUAUAUAAAGAUUUAUCUUUCAUUGAAA
rnacentral:tRNA from 1 species